UUGAUCUAUAUGUCUGUUCUUGCAGCAGUACCAGGGUGUUGUGAGUACAGUGACUUUGUAAUAUAACUUGAUAUCUGGUAUUGUGAUUCCUCCAACUUUGUUCUUUGUUCUCAAGAUUGCUCCAGCUAUUCGGGUUUUUUUUGAUACCAUAUAAAUUU